rnacentral:lncRNA from 1 species
CCCCCACAUUACUCACCACUCUUUACCAGGGACCUCUUAUAUAGACCUACCCCAACACAGUGCUCUGGAGGCUGGUCAUAUAAAUUUGGCAAUGGCAAACAGCUGCUGCUUGUGUACACUGGGGAGGUUGGAACAAGGAGCUGCUUCUGUCUGGACACUGACCCACUGUGACAGCCCUGCACCAUGGCAGACCCCCCCGGCUGCUGCCGCCCGUGUGCCACCUGCCUGCUGUGCCUCUACAGCUGCCAGUGGAUCACUGCCAAGAAGGAGAAGAGGAGGGGUCUGAAAACUACCAAGUGUGACUGCAGCUGGUUUCUCUUCCUCUUCUGCGUCUUCCUCUUCACACUGGUGUGGUUCUACAUUGCCAUCAUCAUCCUCAAUGAUUUCCACAACUUUAAUGAGUGAGUAGGAUCCCACAUCCAGCCUGACCUCCUCCAUCCC